UACAGAGGGUGCGAGCGUUAAUCGGAUUUACUGGGCGUAAAGCGUGCGUAGGCGGCUAAUUGAGUCGGAUGUGAAAUCCCCGAGCUUAACUUGGGAAUUGCAUUCGAUACUGGUUAGCUAGAGUGUGGGAGAGGAUGGUAGAAUUCCAGGUGUAGCGGUGAAAUGCGUAGAGAUCUGGAGGAAUACCGAUGGCGAAGGCAGCCAUCUGGCCUAACACUGACGCUGAGGUACGAAAGCAUGGGGAGCAAACAGG
rnacentral:rRNA from 2 species